rnacentral:lncRNA from 1 species
ACUUCCGUCAUGUUUUGGGCAGCAAGCAUGCACACCUAAUCAGCACAGGCAACGUGGGCCCACUAGACAGAGCUAAGAAAAAUGUGGGAGCGCCUUUACACAGUCCAGAUGUUGGGCUGGAAGAAUAAGCUCCUGAAGCUCUUAUGUUAAGCCCAGGCGAGAUUAGAGAGACUGCAAAGGAAAAUCUGAGAUAAAUUACCAAAUGAGCCAUCCAUGGCGAAGAGAGUUCUGGGAUAGUGCAGGAAGAACAAAGUCAAUGAAGUUCAGAGACACAGCCCACUGAAAGUGCCAAAUACAGGAUCCAGGUUUCCUUAUGCCGCUCAAAGUUGUAGUCUGC